rnacentral:rRNA from 1 species
UCAAGCUAAUAAGAGCAUAAGGCGGAUGCCUUGGCAACAGGAGCCGAAGAAGGACGUGACAAGCUGCGAUAAGCUGCGGGGAGGUGCAAAUAACCUUUGAUCCGCAGAUGUCCGAAUGGGGGAACCCACAUACAGUAAUGUGUAUGUACCGUAUGGUGAAUAAAUAGCCAUACAGGAGGUGACCCGGUGAACUGAAACAUCUAAGUAGCCGGAGGAAGAGAAAGAAACAUCGAUCCCCUGAGUAGCGGCGAGCGAAAGGGGAAGAGCCCAAACCAUGCUACGGCAUGGGGUUGUGGACCAUCACAAGUCACAGAUCAUCAUAACCGAAUACAACUGGAAAGUUGAACCGCAGAAGGUAAAGGUCCUGUAGGUGAAAUGAUGAGACGGACGGAUGGCACCAGAGUAGCACCGGACACGUGAAACCCGGUGUGAAGCAGGGAGGACCGCCUCCCAAGGCUAAAUACUACCUGUUGACCGAUAGAGAACAGUACCGUGAGGGAAAGGUGAAAAGAACCCCGGGAGGGGAGUGAAACAGAACCUGAAACCUUAUGCUUACAAGCAGAGGGAGCGCAAGUGACCUCGUACUUUUUGUAGAACGGGCCAACGAGUUGCGGUAUAUGGCAAGGUUAAGGUGUUAAGCACCGGAGCCGUAGCGAAAGCGAGUCUUAAAAGGGCCAGAGUCGUAUGCUGCAGACCCGAAACCGGGUGACCUAUCCAUGUGCAGGUUGAAGCGGGAGUAAAAUCUCGUGGAGGACCGAACCCAUAUCCGUUGAAAAGGGUUGGGAUGACGUGUGGAUAGCGGUGAAAUUCCAAUCGAACUCGGAGAUAGCUGGUUCUCCUCGAAAUAGCUUUAGGGCUAGCCUCGGAAUGAGAUACGCGGAGGUAGAGCACUGAAUAUCCUAGGGGCCUUCACCGGCUACCGAAGAUUAUCAAACUCCGAAUGCCGCAGUAUCAUGUCCGGGAGUCAGACUAUGUGAGAUAAGUUUCAUAGUCGAAAGGGAAACAGCCCAGACCAACAGCUAAGGUCCCAAAGUUCAGGUUAAGUGGAAAAGGAUGUGGAGCUGCAUAGACAACUAGGACGUUGGCUUAGAAGCAGCCACUCAUUUAAAGAGUGCGUAAUAGCUCACUAGUCGAGUGACUCUGCGCCGAAGAUAAACGGGGCUGAAACCUGACACCGAAGCUUUGGAUACAUUAUGUAUGGUAGAGGAGCAUCGUAUACGGGCAGAAGCGUGACCGUAAGGGAGCGUGGACUGUAUACGAGAGAGAAUGUUGGCAUGAGUAGCGAGAGGCAGGUGAGAAUCCUGCCCGCCGAAAAUCUGAGGAUUCCUGAGGAAGGUUCGUCCGCUCAGGGUAAGUCGGGACCUAAGCCGAGAACGAAAGUUGUAGGCGAUGGACAACAGGUUGAGAUUCCUGUACCACCGAGGAUCAUUUGAAUGAAGUGGGGACGCAGGAGGAUAGGCUGAGCGCGCCGUUGGUGGAGCGCGUCCAAGCACGGAGGGAGUUGACCAGGCAAAUCCGGUCAGCGAGUUCCUGACGUGUGAUGGGGAGGGAAAACAAGUACCGAAGCAGCUGAUUUCACACUGCCAAGAAAAGCCGCUGGUGAGAUCCAAGGUGCCCGUACCGCAAACCGACACAGGUAGAUGAGGAGAGAAUCCUAAGGCGAGCGAGAGAACUAUUGUUAAGGAACUCGGCAAAAUGACCCCGUAACUUAGGGAGAAGGGGUGCUGCAGAAAUGCAGCCGCAGUGAAGAGGCCCAGGCGACUGUUUACCAAAAACACAGGUCUCUGCGAAAGCGAAAGCUGAAGUAUAGGGGCUGACGCCUGCCCGGUGCUGGAAGGUUAAGGGGAAGUGUCAGGGCGACCGAAGCACAGAACUUAAGCCCCAGUAAACGGCGGCCGUAACUAUAACGGUCCUAAGGUAGCGAAAUUCCUUGUCGGGUAAGUUCCGACCCGCACGAAAGGCGUAACGA